rnacentral:rRNA from 1 species
GUCGAACGCUGGCGGCGUGCCUAAUACAUGCAAGUCGAACGCAGUGGGGAUGGGUGAGUAAAACGUGGGUAACCUCCCAUCAGAGGGGAUAACACUUGGAAACAGCUGCUAAACCGAUACUGAAUUAUGGACCAGCGGUGCAUUAGCUAGUUGGUGAGGUAACGGCUCACCAAGGCCACGAUGCAUAGCUGACCUGAGAGGGUGAUCGGCCACACUGGGACUGAGACACGGCCCAGACUCCUACGGGAGGCAGCAGUGGGGAAUCUUCGGCAAUGGACGAAAGUCUGACCGAGCAACGCCGCGUGAGUGAAGAAGGUUCUAGGAUCGUAAAACUCUGUUGUUAGAGAAGCGGGAUCUAACCAGAAAGCCACGGCUAACUACGUGCCAGCCGCCGCGGUAAUAC